CGAGUCGGCCGGGUGAUCGCGGCGCAAGCUGAGGAAAGUCCGGACUCCACAGGGCAAGGUGGUGGGUAACACCCACCCGGGGCGACCCGCGGGACAGUGCCACAGAGAAUAGACCGCCUGAAUGCUUCGGUAUUUGGGUAAGGGUGAAACGGUGGUGCAAGAGACCACCGCGCGACUGGUGACAGUCGUGGCAGGGCAAACCCCACCUGGAGCAAGACCAGACAGCAGACGUUCGAGGGCUGCCCGCCCGAGUCUGCGGGUAGGUCGCACGCGCACCGGGGAACCGGUGCGGGAAGGUCACCAGAAAUGGUGAUCGCAGAUGGAUGAUCACCGCACCCGGCAUCCGCGAGGAACCGGGUGAACAGAAUCCGGCUCACAGGCCGACUCGUCUU
rnacentral:RNase_P_RNA from 2 species